AAAGAAAGGCUCUUGGGUUGUAAACCUCUUUUAUCAAGGAAGAUAAUGACGGUACUUGAUGAAUCAGCCUCGGCUAACUCCGUGCCAGCAGCCGCGGUAAUACGGAGGAGGCAAGCGUUAUCCGGAAUUAUUGGGCGUAAAGCGUCCGCAGGUGGCGAUUCAAGUCUGCUGUCAAAGCACGGGGCUUAACUCCGUUAAGGCAGUGGAAACUGAAUAGCUAGAGUGCCGUAGGGGUAGAGGGAAUUCCCGGUGUAGCGGUGAAAUGCGUAGAGAUCGGGAAGAACAUCGGUGGCGAAAGCGCUCUACUGGACGGCAACUGACACUCAGGGACGAAAGCUAGGGGAGCGAAUGGGAUUAGAUACCCCAGUAGUC
rnacentral:rRNA from 1 species